ensembl:lncRNA
UAUCAUCUCAUUUUCUUGAAAUUUUAUUGAAAAUAUUAUUGUGAUGGACUGCACUUUGUAUGUGGAAAUACAUGCGACAAACGAAGUGAGGUAUGAAAAGGCUCUCGAGGACUGGUCUGACAGCCUUGCCCUUGCUUCUUUCCUGGAUCUGUGGUAGCUGGAAGGGUCUGGGCCUGCAUCCAGGGGAAAAAAAGAGUUCAGGACCCUCUACACUGAAGAGCAGCAAGCCACACACGGCUGCUGGAUGUAACAGGGUGCUGCCUGCGGGUGUGCUGGGAAAGACUUGCGAUUCAUGGGGCCAGAAGGCAUUGAGGGCUGCACUAAAUAACUCUGGAGUAAGUGCAGAUGGAGUAGGACGUGAAAAGUACAACUUCUUGCUGAAUUGUGCAGAUCAUAGCGAGGCUGUUGUGAGAAUCCCAUGCUCCAGCGAUCCCAGGUAGCUGAAGUGGCCUUUGGGGAUUUUGGAUCAUAUCUGACAUUGUUCCAGCCUGGGCUGAGUAGACACAUAUAGCCC